rnacentral:rRNA from 1 species
CCUACGGGUGGCUGCAGUGAGGAAUAUUGGUCAAUGGACGAGAGCCUGAACCAGCCAAGCAGCGUGAAGGAUGACUGCCCUAUGGGUUGUAAACUUCUUUUAUAAGGGAAUAAAGCGUGGCACGUGUGCCUUUUUGCAUGUACCUUAUGAAUAAGCAUCGGCUAACUCCGUGCCAGCAGCCGCGGUAAUACGGAGGAUCCGAGCGUUAUCCGGAUUUAUUGGGUUUAAAGGGAGCGUAGGCGGGUUGUUAAGUCAGGUGUGAAAGUUGCGGGCUCAACCGGAGAAUGGCAGUUGAUACUGGCAGGCUUGAGUACGGGAGAGGUAGGCGGAAUUCGUGGUGUAGCGGUGAAAUGCGUAGAUAUCGCGAAGAACCCCGAUGGCGAAGGCAGCUUACUGGACUAAGACUGACGCUGAGGCUCGAAAGUGUGGGUAUCAAACAGGAUUAGAUACCCUUGUAGUC